rnacentral:rRNA from 1 species
GAUGAACGCUGACAGAAUGCUUAACACAUGCAAGUCAACUUGAAUUUGGGUUUUUAACUUAGGUUUGGGUGGCGGACGGGUGAGUAACGCGUAAAGAACUUGCCUCACAGCUAGGGACAACAUUUAGAAAUGAAUGCUAAUACCUAAUAUUAUGAUAAUAGGGCAUCCUAUAAUUAUGAAAGCUAUAUGCGCUGUGAGAGAGCUUUGCGUCCCAUUAGCUAGUUGGAGAGGUAACGGCUCACCAAGGCGAUGAUGGGUAGCCGGCCUGAGAGGGUGAUCGGCCACAAGGGGACUGAGACACGGCCCUUACUCCUACGGGAGGCAGCAGUGGGGAAUAUUGGACAAUGGACCGAGAGUCUGAUCCAGCAAUUCUGUGUGCACGAUGAAGUUUUUCGGAAUGUAAAGUGCUUUCAGUUGGGAAGAAAGAAAUGACGGUACCAACAGAAGAAGUGACGGCUAAAUACGUGCCAGCAGCCGCGGUAAUACGUAUGUCACGAGCGUUAUCCGGAUUUAUUGGGCGUAAAGCGCGUCUAGGUGGUUAUAUAAGUCUGAUGUGAAAAUGCAGGGCUCAACUCUGUAUUGCGUUGGAAACUGUAUAACUAGAGUACUGGAGAGGUAAGCGGAACUACAAGUGUAGAGGUGAAAUUCGUAGAUAUUUGUAGGAAUGCCGAUGGGGAAGCCAGCUUACUGGACAGAUACUGACGCUGAAGCGCGAAAGCGUGGGUAGCAAACAGG